AACGCUAGCUACAGGCUUAACACAUGCAAGUCGAGGGGCAGCAUGGUCUUAGCUUGCUAAGGCCGAUGGCGACCGGCGCACGGGUGAGUAACACGUAUCCAACCUGCCGUCUACUCUUGGACAGCCUUCUGAAAGGAAGAUUAAUACAAGAUGGCAUCAUGAGUCCGCAUGUUCACAUGAUUAAAGGUAUUCCGGUAGACGAUGGGGAUGCGUUCCAUUAGAUAGUAGGCGGGGUAACGGCCCACCUAGUCUUCGAUGGAUAGGGGUUCUGAGAGGAAGGUCCCCCACAUUGGAACUGAGACACGGUCCAAACUCCUACGGGAGGCAGCAGUGAGGAAUAUUGGUCAAUGGGCGAGAGCCUGAACCAGCCAAGUAGCGUGAAGGAUGACUGCCCUAUGGGUUGUAAACUUCUUUUAUAAAGGAAUAAAGUCGGGUAUGCAUACCCGUUUGUAUGUACUUUAUGAAUAAGGAUCGGCUAACUCCGUGCCAGCAGCCGCGGUAAUACGGAGGAUCCGAGCGUUAUCCGGAUUUAUUGGGUUUAAAGGGAGCGUAGAUGGAUGUUUAAGUCAGUUGUGAAAGUUUGCGGCUCAACCGUAAAAUUGCAGUUGAUACUGAUAUCUUGAGUGCAGUUGAGGCAGGCGGAAUUCGUGGUGUAGCGGUGAAAUGCUUAGAUAUCACGAAGAACUCCGAUUG
rnacentral:rRNA from 1 species